GCUUACGGCCACACCUCCCUGAGCACGUCUGAUCUCGGAAGCUAAGCAGGGUCGGGCCCGGUUAGUACUUGGAUGGGAGACCGCCUGGGAAUACCAGGUGCUGUAAGCU
rnacentral:rRNA from 1 species